rnacentral:rRNA from 1 species
CCUACGGGUGGCAGCAGUGGGGAAUAUUGGGCAAUGGACGAAACUCUGACCCAGCAACGCCGCGUGAAUGAUGAAGGUCUUCGGAUUGUAAAGUUCUUUUCUAAGGGAAGAAGAAAGUGACGGUACCUUAGGAAUAAGCCUCGGCUAACUACGUGCAAGCAGCCGCGGUAAUCCGUAGGAGGAGCGCGAUACCUGGAAUGACUGGGCGUAAAGGGUGCGAAGGUGGUUUGAUAAGUUGAGGGCGAAAGCCCGGGGCUCAACGUCGGAACUACAACCGAAACUGGCGGACUGGAGUGAGGGAGAGGAAAGUGGAAUUCCAGGUGUAGGGGUGAAAUGCGUAGAUAUGAGGAGGAACACCAGUGGCGAAGGCGAGUAUCUGGACGAUAACUGACGCUGAGGCACGAAAGCGUGGGGAGCAAACAGGAUUAGAUACCCGUGUAGUC